GUAGUCUCGCACAGAUGCAUAUCAAUAAGCGGAGGAAAAGAAACUAACAAGGAUUCCCUCAGUAACGGCGAGUGAAGCGGGAAGAGCUCAAAUUUGAAAUCUUGAAAGGUCACCUUUCACGAAUUGUAGUUUAAAGAAGUGUUUUCUGUUACGAUCGUAAUAUAAGUUCUUUGGAAUAGGACAUCACAGAGGGUGAGAAUCCCGUCUAUGAUUGCGAUUUGUAGCUUUGUGAUACACUUUCAAAGAGUCGGGUUGUUUGGGAAUGCAGCCCAAAACGGGAGGUAAAUUUCUUCUAAGGCUAAAUAUUGGCGAGAGACCGAUAGCGAACAAGUACCGUGAGGGAAAGAUGAAAAGAACUUUGAAAAGAGAGUUAAAUAGUACGUGAAAUUGUCAAAAGGGAAGCGUUUAACACCAGUGUUGUUUUCUGAAAAUCAACCUCUGUUAGCUUUAUGCAUGUUUGUUUAGACCUAAUCAGCUAUCUUGCAUGUUCUAUUGUUUGCAGUGGUGCACUUUUCAGUUUACAGGUCAACAUCAGUUUUCUUUACCGUAAAAAAGUUAAAGAAAGGUAGCUCAUGGCUCCGGUCGUGAGUGUUAUAGUCUUUUUCCUAUGCGGUAGGAGAGACUGAGGUCUGCAGUGUAGGCUAUUUGGCUAGAUACUCAGGUGCUAUGUGAUACCAUUUCAUAAACAACUUGUUGAUUAUGUUUUGUCUAUUGCAUACUCGCUUGUACUAUCAUACCUACGCUUAGGAUGUUGAAGAUGUAGCACAUCAU
rnacentral:rRNA from 1 species